AGCAGAGUUAACAAACGGUUUUGUUCCCAGGCUCAUGACCUAGUGGUUAAGGUGGUUCGACUCCCCUCUCUGCAA